UUAAAGUUGUUGCAGUUAAAAAGCUCGUAGUUGAACUUCAGGCUUGGUUGAUUGGUCCGCCUCACGGUGUGUACUGUUCGACCGAGCCUUACCUCUUGGUGAGCCAGCAUGCCGUUUAUUCGGUGUGUUGGGGAACCAGGAUUUUUACUUUGAAAAAAUUAGAGUGUUCAAAGCAGGCCUAUGCCCGAAUACAUUAGCAUGGAAUAAUA
rnacentral:rRNA from 1 species